GACGAACGCUGGCGGCGUGCUUAACACAUGCAAGUCGAACGGUGAAGGGGUCUGCUUUUGUGGGCCCUGGAUGAGUGGCGAACGGGUGAGUAACACGUGAGUAACCUGCCCCCUUCUUCUGGAUAACCGCAUGAAAGUGUGGCUAAUACGGGAUAUUCUGGGUCUGUCGCAUGAUGGGUCUGGGAAAGAUUGCGCCUUUGGGUGUUGUUGGUGGGGGAUGGGCUCGCGGCCUAUCAGCUUGUUGGUGGGGUGAUGGCCUACCAAGGCGGGGACGGGUAGCCGGCCUGAGAGGGUGGACGGUCACACUGGGACUGAGACACGGCCCAGACUCCUACGGGAGGCAGCAGUGGGGAAUAUUGCACAAUGGGCGCAAGCCUGAUGCAGCGACGCCGCGUGAGGGAUGGAGGCCUUCGGGUUGUAAACCUCUUUCGCCAGUGAAGCAGGCCUGCUCCUUGUGGGUGGGUUGACGGUAGCUGGAUAAGAAGCGCCGGCUAACUACGUG
rnacentral:rRNA from 1 species